GGCUUCGUAGCUCAGUCGGUAGAGCAGAGGACUGAAAAUCCUCGUGUCGGUGGUUCGAUUCCGCCCGGAGCCACCA
rnacentral:tRNA from 1 species